UCCUGGGCCCAGGACAACUGACCCGUUUGUCCCCCCCUGUUGGCGGGCGUGUGCACAGCCAGCAACACAGCCGCUCUUCUUGACCUACUGAGCCGCUGCUGCAUUCUCAGAGAACUACGGCAGAGGAUGAACAUGGUUGCGUUCAAUGACCAUAGAAGGAAUUAACAGAGAAAGCGAAUAAGAAUUAGAAGACUAACGAGAUACAUCCCAGUCAAGACUAGAGCGGCCAAGGCAGCCACAACUAAAAAUCGUCCCUCGAACCUGUCAAGGAGACAGAAGAUGCUUUUCUAAAGACUGGCACAACACAUGUAAAUGGUUUGAAUUGAGCCUGGUAACCAGAGUUGGAGACUAUGGAUCUUUUCCGUGAAGUUAUUUUUGUAAAAGCGAUUAUUUAUUUUUGUUUCAGACUAAGUAAAGGUUUAACUGUUUCUUACAUAUACAGUAUAACCUUGUAAUCAAAAUAUGACUGUUGUUCCCUGUUUUCCCUGAAAUUCUUGUUGCAUAAAUAAAGAUAUAAUUUCUGUUUUUGCUUUUA